rnacentral:rRNA from 1 species
AGCGAACGCUGGCGGCAGGCCUAACACAUGCAAGUCGAACGGUAACAGGUCUUCGGAUGCUGACGAGUGGCGAACGGGUGAGUAAUACAUCGGAACGUGCCUAGUAGUGGGGGAUAACUACUCGAAAGAGUGGCUAAUACCGCAUGAGAUCUACGGAUGAAAGCAGGGGAUCGCAAGACCUUGUGCUACUAGAGCGGCCGAUGGCAGAUUAGGUAGUUGGUGGGAUAAAAGCUUACCAAGCCGACGAUCUGUAGCUGGUCUGAGAGGACGAUCAGCCACACUGGGACUGAGACACGGCCCAGACUCCUACGGGAGGCAGCAGUGGGGAAUUUUGGACAAUGGGCGCAAGCCUGAUCCAGCAAUGCCGCGUGCAGGAUGAAGGCCUUCGGGUUGUAAACUGCUUUUGUACGGAACGAAAAGCCCUGGGUUAAUACCCUGGGGUCAUGACGGUACCGUAAGAAUAAGCACCGGCUAACUACGUGCCAGCCGCCGCCGUAAGAC